GCGUAUACAACCUACCUUUAGCGGGAAUAGCCCAGGGAAACUUGGAUUAAUGCCCCAUAGUAUGGAGGUCUCUCCUGAGAUUUUCAUAAACAUUUAUGGCUAUUAGAUGGGUAUGCGUCCUAUUAGUUAGUUGGUAAGGUAACGGCUUACCAAGGCAGCGAUAGGUAGGGGGUCCUGAGAGGGAGAUCCCCCACACUGGUACUGAGACACGGACCAGACUCCUACGGGAGGCAGCAGUGAGGAAUAUUGGACAAUGGCGAGAGCCUGAUCCAGCCAUGCCGCGUGCAGGAAGACUGCCCU
rnacentral:rRNA from 1 species